AUGAAUCAUUCAUACAGGGAUGAAGAGCUCCAGCUGUGGACGUCCUCAGGUCAGAUGAUGCAGGCUGAUGAGGAGCCACAGUUGAUCCCUCGCUUCUGCAUCCUUAAUCAAAGAGGAAGAGCAUCCUUGUGGAAGAACACCGAUCGCAGGUCGAGCCUAAUAACGCAGCCACCCUCCCUCUCUCUGCACCCUCGACACUCUUGUCUUCUGCAGGAGGCUAUCCAACACUCAGCAUUCACUUCUCUAGAUUCACUUGUCAUAAAUUUCUCCCAGGAGGUCACUGGGACAAGACUCAACUCAAAUGUGAGGGACAUUUUCAGGUUGAUGACAACAGAUCAGUGUAAGAGUUUGAUCAUUUUCUGUGAUGAAGACAUACCACCACACCUUUCUAGUAACAUUUGCUACGAUAAAGACAGUGGGGUAUUUAUGGGGAAUCCUGGAUGUAAUAUCAACGACAAUAACAAUGUGUCAAGUGAUCUGACAAACCUAACUGUCCACACACUCUGCGAACCCAACAACAAUGACUCUAAGGACAGUCAGAGCGAAAUGGUUAUCAGAGAUUGUUUUCACGAUGGCAAAUGUAAAUGUGUUUUAAAAUCCUGUCAAAAGUGCAAUAAUUUAGGAGUUUCAUCUGGAAGGGACAGGAACGUGAAAAUGAGCAGGAGCGUGUCCUUCGACGAGGAGGUCAUUGUCUACAUGUUUGAUCAGGACAGCCCCAUCUCGGAGCUGCACUCUGAGCCCUGCAUAUCUCAUCCAGGCCGCCAUUCCAGUGAUCUGUCAGACGACACACUGGAAGACAUUGGUCUGGAAUGGGAGGACGACUUCUCAGCUUUGGAGACGAACCGCCAUUUUCAGUAUGUCAGACACAGGUGGGACCGCUCGUUCUCCCUACCGACACCCGGCCGGACGUCCCUGGCCAGGCCAGAGCGUUUGUCUCUGUCCCAAACCUGCCUGUUCCUCAUCCAUGUCACCGAGUCAGACCUUGAACUGUGAGAUAAAGGGCCUGUUGAAGCUCUGAGAUCUACAGUAGGCCCACACUGCUGGAGAAAGAGAGGACAGAGGCAGCAGGAUGAAGUCCAAAGGGAAGGCCGUCAAACCAUCCAGGAGAACUUGGUCUGACCCAGAGCCAGAACUAGAACCAGACACAGAACCAGAACCUGGCUCCAGCGAGCAGGAAGGCUCAGAGGCCUCGGUCCGCAUUCGUGGCUCCUGGAGGGGAUCGCUCAGAAGUGGGGAUGGUAAGCGUCAGGGAGGCGCAGGCGGAGGCCGGCGGCGCAGACAACACGGCUCCAGCACCAAGGAGCGCAGCAUCCGGCGACUGGAGAGCAACGAGCGGGAACGCCAGCGCAUGCACAAACUCAACAAUGCCUUCCAGGCAUUACGCGAGGCCAUCCCUCACGUCAAGACGGACAAGAAAUUGUCCAAGAUCGAGACACUGACCCUAGCUAAGAAUUACAUCAAGGCUUUGACCACCAUCAUCCUGGACAUGUCAGGGGCCUGCCUGCCCGCUGGUGGAGUCCCAUCAGAGGCCAGCGCUGCCAAGCUGCUCCAGUGCUACCAGCAGCACCUGGAGGAGGAAGGGGAAGAGGGUCUUACCCAGUACCUCACCCACAUGCACAGCUUCAGCCAGCUCAGCUAACAGUGGCUGCAAGGUGGUGUGGAGAUGAGGACAGCCACCAGGAGGCUGGCCUACAGGGUAGAAAGUCAGUUGAUGGACUCCACUCCACAAUAUCCACUUCCUACCGUCACACUGCUCUUGGAUCGGGGGGUGUUUUCUGUAGGAAGCGGGUGUUGUCGUGCUUGAGCGUAGCGAGAGCCGAGCUGCCCUCACGCAACAUGGAAUGAUUUGGGAACCAUUCACCCAGCGGACACAAGACUGCAGACUGGAAAACGAAAAACCAAAGAGACCAUAGUUACGAAAAGCGAGAAGACUUUUUAGCUAUUAUGCUGAGAUAGCAAGGGCUAAUCUUACACUGUUCUCUCUCUCUCUCUCUCUCUUUUUUUUAAUCUCAUCUUCUAUGGUUUGAGCUGGGGCUGGGACUUGUUCUCUUUUGUGUUAUCUUGUGAUCUUCUUGUGUGUUUUCUGUUGAGAAACCUGCUGAGCAUAGCCUCUAGUCGCAACCGCCACAUCCAGGAAGAAAAUGAAGGCAAGCAGUAUGAGUUACAGUAAAUAUUGAAAAUUUGAAGCUACAUGUACAGAGUUGUGUUUGCCCAAGCAGGCGAUCUCCAUGAUUUACUUGUUUUCUCACAUGCUGUACACCCAUACUGCAGCUAGAUGGCAGAGAUGAUGUGUAAAGUGUAUGUUAUUUGUCUUCUUGUGUCUCCACGUGUCUUGAGGUGUUUUUUGUAGAGAAAAUGGAAAAAGAAGUAUCUAUUUCAGCAG
rnacentral:lncRNA from 1 species